rnacentral:lncRNA from 7 species
GCCCCCCCUCCCCUCGGCGCUCCCCCACCCCGAGCAGCCGCCGCGGGUUCGCCGGCCCGAAGCGGAGCCCUCUCCCCCGUAACAAUGAGACGCGGAGCGCACGUACAAACACGAGCACGUUUAUUCGGUACAGACAGGUUCAGUGAGAGACAUCGUCCUGCGAACCAGGAACACAUUGCACACACUCCGGUACGAAGCGCAUAAAUGGAACCAACAGCCGCAUCCCGUAGCGGAGCCAUUGAGAGUCUGUCGGGGAAGGGGGGAUUUUUUAUUCCUUUUUUUUUUUUUUUCUUUUUUUUUUCUCUUUUUUUUUGUAGAAAAGCCCGGUUCUGGCGGCCUCCUGGAACAAUGCGCUCCGGCUGCAGCAACCGUCGGCCUCACAGGGCUGAAACUUGGCAUCCGAAGUCACAAGGGAGAAACUAGGAAGAAAGAAACCACCCCUGGCUAAGCUGCUUCUGGGUGAUAUGAAAGUGAAAUUGCUGGGAGCUUUGCAGGGAACAGGUAUGUCCAACUCAAUAAAAGCUUUGGAUUAAGAAGUGAAGGAGAUACAAAGCAGCCUCAGCAGAAGUUCUCCAUAAAGCAGUGAUCCUGGGAGAGGCUGGUGCACGUGUGCAUCGAGUCUUGAACUGGAAUGGAACUACUCCAUAAACAAAAUACCAAUACAAUGAUGCUAAAGAACAUAAUUAGUCAUCGUGUGCUGGACUUCUGCUCUCUGGUGUUUACACUGUAAAUGUGGAUUGCCUCUAUCAAGCACGGGGAGACCCAUGGAUAUGAAUACAUGCCCUUGUGUAAGUAACAGAGAUUAAGGGCCUGAUCACCUAGGCUGGAGAGGUACAGGACAGCUGAGCAAUCUCACAGCCUGUUGGAAAACUUUCCUGCUUGGUUUUUGGCUAGCUUAGUUUUGUGCCACAUUAGUGAGCUCAAGCACCUCAGCAAGGCAUCCAAUGGAUAUGAGAGUCAUCACAAGCAGAAUGCUCAAUUCCUAACACAGGUAUCAGACAGUUACACAAAGAGUUUGGCUGGCGCAGCUCAGGAGGCUGCAGGUAGGCUCAGUGACUGGCAGGUGGGAAUGGAGGACCAAGAAUUGUAGAAUCAUAGAAUGGCUUGGGUUGGAAGGGACCUCAAGGAUCAUCAGGUUCUACACCCUUGCUGCUGGCACGGUUGCCAAUUGCUGGAUCAAGUACUAGAUCAGAUUGCUCAGGGUCCCAUCCAACCUGGCCUUGAACAUCUCUAGGAACGGGGCACCCACAACCUCUCUAAACAACCUGUUCCAGCACCUCACCACAGUCUCAGUAAAAAACUUCCCUCUGACAUAUAAUCUAAAUCUUCCCUCCUUUAGUUUAAAACCAUUCCCCCUUAUCCUAUCAUUAUCUAUCCAUGUAUAAUGUUAAUUUCCCUCAUGUUUCUAAACCUCCU